AACAGGAUUAGAUACCCUGGUAGUCCACGCCCUAAACGAUGUCUACUAGUUGUUGGUGGAGUAAAAUCCAUGAGUAACGCAGCUAACGCGUGAAGUAGACCGCCUGGGGAGUACGGUCGCAAGAUUAAAACUCAAAUGAAUUGACGGGGGCCCGCACAAGCGGUGGAUUAUGUGGAUUAAUUCGAUGCAACGCGAAAAACCUUACCUGGCCUUGACAUGUAACGAACUUUCCAGAGAUGGAUUGGUGCUCGAAAGAGAACGUUAACACAGGUGCUGCAUGGCUGUCGUCAGCUCGUGUCGUGAGAUGUUGGGUUAAGUCCCGCAACGAGCGCAACCCUUGCCAAUAAUUGCCAUCAUUUAGUUGGGCACUUUAUUGGGACUGCCGAUGACAAAUCGGAGGAAGGUGGGGAUGACGUUAAGUCCUCAUGGCCCUUAUGGCCAGGGCUUCACACGUAAUACAAUGGUCGGUACAGAGGGUUGCCAAGCCGCAAGGUGGAGCCAAUCCCAGAAAGCCGAUCGUAGUCCGGAUUGAGGUCUGCAACUCGACCUCAUGAAGUCGGAAUCGCUAGUAAUCGCGGAUCAGCAUGUCGCGGUGAAUACGUUCCCGGGCCUUGUACACACCGCCCGUCACACCAUGGGAGUGGGUUUUACCAGAAGUAGGUAGUCUAACCGCAAGGAGGACGCUUACCACGGUAGCAUUCAUGACUGGGGUGAAGUCGUAACAAGGUAACC
rnacentral:rRNA from 1 species